ACACAUCCGCACCAGCCCGUCUGCGCCGCGAGCCUACGGCCUGAUUUCUCCCCCUCCAUUGUUGUAGCUAACACAAAAGGCUAAAACUCCAGUGUGGUCACGGGGCCUGCGCUGAAUUACGCGCCGGGCCAUUCUUUGGGCCAGAGCCUUUGUGGGUUGGGAUGCAUCCCCUCUCCGUGCCAGAACUCCGGGCUGUCACACGCAGGCUGAAGCGCUUCGCAAGCGUGGUGUUAAAUGGACAGUGUAACAAUGACUUGCUGAGGGAGACGUGCAUGAAGCUUCCACCACUAAACUCCUCAAGGGCAGACAUCUUCUCCCUUUGGUUCACCCAACACUUGAUCCCUGGCACCGAGUAGGAGUUCAAGAAACAUUUGCCAAGUGACUAAGUGAAUGAAUAGCAAACGUGGAUCGGCCCUUUGAGCUUUGCACAUAUAUAUAUAUAUAUAUGUAUGUAUGUAUGUAUGUAUGUAUAGUCUAAAAUGAAAGUAUAUUGAAUUCUUUCAUAUACCUACCCCCAUACCUAUGAUCCAUAUCUCUAAAACCAAACCUACCUAAACUACCUUGUAAC
rnacentral:lncRNA from 1 species